AUUGAACGCUGGCGGCAUGCUUUACACAUGCAAGUCGAACGGCAGCGGGGAGGAGCUUGCUUCUCUGCUGGCGAGUGGCGAACGGGUGAGUAAUACAUCGGAACGUGUCGAGAAGAGGGGGAUAACCACCCGAAAGGGUGGCUAAUACCGCAUAAAUUCUGAGGAAGAAAGCUGGGGACCUGGGAAUAGGCCUAGCGCUUUUUGAGCGGCCGAUGUCGGAUUAGCUAGUUGGUGAGGUAAAGGCUCACCAAGGCGAAGAUCUGUAGCGGGUCUGAGAGGAUGAUCCGCCACACUGGGACUGAGACACGGCCCAGACUCCUACGGGAGGCAGCAGUGGGGAAUUUUGGACAAUGGGGGCAACCCUGAUCCAGCCAUGCCGCGUGUAUGAAGAAGGCCUUAGGGUUGUAAAGUACUUUUGUUAGGGAAGAAAAGUCAGCUGUGAAUAAUGGCUGAUACUGACGGUACCUAAAGAAUAAGCACCGGCUAACUACGUG
rnacentral:rRNA from 1 species